rnacentral:lncRNA from 1 species
UAGGGAUUCUAUAUUUGGUAGGAUACUAAUUAGGAGUCCCUCUAAUUAAGCCUACAUAUUUACAUUCCAUAACACUCCCCCUCAAACUAGAGCAUAAAUAUUAAUCAUGCCCAACUUGUUACAAAUAUAAUCAACCCGAAUCUCAUUUAGAGCCUUUGUGAAGAUAUCUCCUAAUUGUUCUCCAGUUUUCACAUAUCCCGUAGAUAUUAAAUUCUGCUGUACUUUUCACGCACAAAAUGACAGUCAAUCUCAAUAUGCUUAGUUCAUUCAUGAAACACCGGAUUAGAAGCAAUAUGAAGAGCCGCUUGAUUGUCACACCAUUACUUUGCUGGUGUUGAGAUAUUAAGACCGACUUCAGUUAGGAAUUGAUAUAUCCACAUUAUCUCACACAGAUUGUGCCAUAACUCUGUAUUCUGAUUCUACACUAGAUCGAGAUACAACAUUUUGCUUCUUACUUUUCCACGAGACCACAUUUCCUCCAACAAAAACACAAUAGCCAAUAAUAGAUCUUCGAUCAAUCUUAGAACCUGCCCAAUCUGCAUCUGAAAAACAUUUGAUGUGGGUAUGCCCAUGAUUUCUGUACAGUAUCCUACGUCCAGGAGCUCCCUUCAAAUAACACAGGAUCUGUUCUAACGCUGUCCAAUAAUGAACUGUCGGGGAAGACAUGAAUUGAU